GGUUUGGUAGCUCAGCGGUUAGAGCGCCAGCCUGAAGCGCUGCGAGGUCGGCAGUUCGAAUCUGCCCCAAACCA